AACGAACGCUGGCGGCGCGUUUUAAGCAUGCAAGUCGAACGGGAUUGCGGGUGCUUGCACCUGCAUGAGAGUGGCGAACGGGUGAGUAACGCGUAGGUGAUCUACCCUAGAGUUGGGGAUAGCUCAUGGAAACAUGGGGUAAUACCGAAUGUCCUGCAUACUUUUGUGUAUGUAGAAAAGGAGCGUUUGCUUCGCUUUAGGAUGAGCCUGCGUAUGAUUAGCUAGUUGGUAGGGUAAUGGCCUACCAAGGCGACGAUCAUUAGCCGGCCUGAGAGGGUGACCGGCCACAUUGGGACUGAGACACGGCCCAGACUCCUACGGGAGGCAGCAGCUAAGAAUCUUCCGCAAUGGACGAAAGUCUGACGGAGCGACGCCGCGUGUGCGAAGAAUGUCGAGAGAUUUGUAAAAGCACUUUUAUAUGUGAGGAAUAAGCGUC
rnacentral:rRNA from 1 species